GACAUCUCGGACCUCAAAGAGUGCGUGGUGUCGACACUACGAUGAAAGUGCUGUGCGCGCUGCGGUUUUUUGCCACCGGGAGCUUUCAACAGUGCGUCGGGAAUGAAGAAGCGAUUGCACUGUCGUAGCCUUCGGUCAGCCGGAUCAUUACAGCCGUCGCCAAGGCCAUUACGGUUGUGGGCAAGGAAAAAGGAUGGGUUAGAUUCCCAUCCACGGCGCAACAGAAAGCCGCCGUCAAGGAAGGCUUUCUUAGCCGUGGAAAAAUUCCAGGAGUUCUAGGGUGUGUGGACGGGAGUCUGAUAGCCAUCGUUCGCCCUAAGAAGCUCGGCCCCGGCGAAACGGAAUCGUACUGGAGCCGUAAAGGGUAUUACACCCUCAACUGCAUGGUCGUGUGCGACGCGAAGCUGAAUAUCCUGGAAAUUGACCCACGGUUUCCGGGAUCGUGCCACGAUUCUUUCGUCUGGAGGCAUUCUGCAUUUCGCCGCCGCCUCACUCGUGGCCUGUUACUUCAUGGAGAAGUCUUGCUUGGGGACUCUGGGUACCCGCUAGAGCCAUGGAUCAUGACUCCUGUGCCUGGUCACCCAAAUCGCCUCACGGCAGAGGGGCGCUAUAAUGAGGCACACGCAUCAAUGCGAAAUGCCGUUGAGCGGUGCAUAGGAGUCGUCAAGAGCCGCUUCCGAUGCCUGCAGAGGUAUCGGGUGCUCCACUACUCGCCUCGGAAAGCAGCCACUAUUGUUGCAGCUUGUGCAGCGCUGCAUAACCUCUGCCUUGCAGCAGGCGUGCCUCUGCCAGAUGACCCAGAUGACGACGGUGCACAUGACGACAGCGCACAGGGGCCAGCCCAGGCACAAGUGCCGCUUCAAGUACAGGUGCCGCCGCAGGCGCACCCUGUACAGCCUUCUCGAGCUUUGUUUCAAAGAGGCCGUGCGGUGCGCGAAUCCAUAGUUGGUGUGUUUCGGCUGCCCAGAAAUUUGCGCAUUGCCUACCUGCAAA